GCUAAACGCGAAGAACCUUACCUGGUCUUGACAUCCCGGGAACCCCGCAGAGAUGUGGGGGUGCCUUCGGGAACCCGGAGACAGGUGCUGCAUGGCUGUCGUCAGCUCGUGUCGUGAGAUGUUGGGUUAAGUCCCGCAACGAGCGCAACCCUUGUCCGUAGUUGCCAUCAUUCAGUUGGGCACUCUACGGAGACCGCCGGUGACAAAUCGGAGGAAGGUGGGGACGACGUCAAGUCAUCAUGGCCCUUAUGACCAGGGCUACACACGUGCUACAAUGGCCGGUACAGAGGGUUGCCAACCCGCAAGGGGGAGCUAAUCCCAGAAAACCGGUCGUAGUCCGGAUCGGAGUCUGCAACUCGACUCCGUGAAGUCGGAAUCGCUAGUAAUCGCGAAUCAGCAUUGUCGCGGUGAAUACGUUCCCGGGUCUUGUACACACCG
rnacentral:rRNA from 1 species